AACGAACGCUGGCGGCAUGCUUAACACAUGCAAGUCGAACGUGAAGGGGACUUCGGUCCCUGGAAAGUGGCGCACGGGUGAGUAACACGUGGAUAAUCUACCCGAUGGUCUGGAAUAACACUUCGAAAGGGGUGCUAAUACCGGAUAAGCCCACGCCGUCUUCGGAUGGUGCGGGAAAAGGGGGCUUCGGCUCCUGUCAUCGGAUGAGUCCGCGGCCCAUUAGCUAGUUGGUAGGGUAAUGGCCUACCAAGGCUAUGAUGGUUAGCUGGCCUGAGAGGGUGGCCAGCCACACUGGAACUGAGAUACGGUCCAGACUCCUACGGGAGGCUG
rnacentral:rRNA from 1 species